CGCCUCGUUGCCACUCUUGCCUCCCCACUUAUUCCCUCGAACCUCUAUUUGCUCCCGGCUCUCUUCGCGUCGCCCUCUGCCUGCUCUUCGACCUCUCCUCGGAUCCGGGGCUCUUCGAUCAUUGCGUAGCCUUCAAUUUCCAGCUUAACAUCAUUGAAAUAGAAGCAGAAGCAAAGUGAUGGCUACACUGGUUUCCCUAUGCGCUUCUAAUCUUCUUACUGUAAGAAAUAAAAGCACGCGUAGGUAUAUCGGACUGAGGCCGGUAAUUCAACUCAGAUGCUCACCUCUAUCUCUUAGUCAUACAAGAAGCCAAAGUCAUCUUGGUCGGCAAUCAAGCAUACUGCUACAUAGGCUUGUUGUGUUGGCUAUUACUAAAGGUUCUACAAAAUCAAGCCAAUCUGAUGAAAAGAUUCCCUCUUGGGCUAGACCUGAUUCUGAUGAACCUCCUCCUUGGGCUCGGGAUGAAGGCAAUGACAGCACUUCUCCACAAACAAUAGCGAUACCCUUUUAUGUUUAUUUAGUUGCAUCAGCUGUGACGGCUAUAGCAGCAGUAGGUUCUGUGUUUGAAUAUGUUAAUCAGAAACCUGUUUUUGGGGUCCUGAGCUCUGACAGCGUGUUUUAUGCACCAUUGCUUGGAUUCUUUGCUUUUACUGGAAUACCCACAUCAGCCUUCUUGUGGUUUAAAUCUGUACAAGCUGCCAAUAAAGCAUCUGAGGAGCAGGACCGCCGAGAUGGCUAUCGUUAAUACUAAUGAUGAAGCAGCUUUUUUCCAUGAUCUUACACAUUAAAAGAAAAUUAUACCUGUUCUAUGCAACUCCUAGUGGCAUAGAUGUGAUGAGAAUCUGUGCGCUGUGAAAACUGGGUAAAGAGAUGUGUGACUUUCUCAUCUGCAUGCCUCUUGACCCUGUUGAUCAGAUGGAAGAAGAAGAAGGAUUCUUGAGUUCUCCUUGUUGAAGCUUAUAAUUUUGAAGGCUUCUCUGGAUUUGUUCUAAGUUCUAAUGAUGAUCUAGAGUUUCUUUAAUCUUCUCAUGGUAAAACUACCUUCUCUGCCUUCGUUGUCUUGUUUGCUUUCAUGUUUUUAUGCUCUUCGUUGCUAUAAAUUUGUCAAUGUCGCAUUUGAAUAGACAACAAAUUAUUGAAACUACUUCUCAAAAGCGUAGCAGAGAACUCUA